AAACAAGAACCUACUGAAAUAAUUGGAGUGAAACAUUGUGCUAUGAAUGCAGAAUUUUAUCCUGGGUUAGGCAAUAGCAUUGACCCAGCCCAAAACACUGGGGGUCUAAAAGCCAACCUAACUGCUAAUAAAUAUCACAAACCACAAGGCUUCUGAAAUUCAAUUACUCUUUAGCUGCAUAUCUGAACUCAAAAAUCUCUGUGGAAAGCCUGGAGUGUAUGAUAUUUUAAAGGAUGUUUUCAAGAUAUGAAAAAAAUAAAAGGUCAUGAUAACCAAUGAUUUAACAGAUUGUGGGUGGAGAGGUGUUUGUGCUUCUGAUAGUUAAUUAAUUGGCAGUUUUAGAGAGCACAGUUCUUAAUUAAGCUGUAAAUAUGUGUUGAUGAGCUUUGUGAUUUAAUAAUGAUUAAUGACUCUAUGAUGUUACCAUAAGAAUGUAGAAAAUGGAAUUACAUCUAUAGCUUAGCAGAUACAUUCAUAAUUUUUCAUUCAGUAAUUUCAUAGAAACAUAUAGGGUGCUUCUGUAAGGCUGUGAACUUGAGCAUGAAGGUAAUCAUGGAUCACAAGGUUUACUGGAGGAAGGAGAACUGGAAGCACAACCAAGUUUUGCCAGAAGAAAAUCUGCUACUACAGUGUAACUUAUAUAACACAAAGACUUUACAUAAGCAAAAACAGAAUAGCUGGUGAGAAUGAAAGUGAAUGUUUUUGUCUUUCCUGAAUGUUAACAGGGGUUGAUAUACAGCCCUUUGCCCUCUGAUGCCGUAAUUAGUAUUGUCUUCCAUGAGACUACUCUUCCUUCUCCCCUUGGAAGACCAGAAGGAAUGAGACUUUGGGGUUCUUUGCCAAAAGAUUUUACUGCUAAUGACAAACAGGAAUAUUCAUUCAGAUAAAACUAGGAUUGUGUACUAAAAGAAAUCAAGAUCCUGUAAAUGUCAUAAUUACCAAGGCUCAGGACCUGAAAAUGAAAAAACACCUGAAAAGAGGACUAGAAAUUAUGUAAAAUAUGUAAAACAAAAAAAUGUUAUGCUGAACUGUAGCCAGACUGUAUGAUUUUUAGGUAGCAAAUUCCACAUGUAUUCUUCCUACUGAAAAUCGUACAAGUUUUCUGAUGGGAUCUUUGUAAGAAGUUUGUGUCAAUCUCAGGGAUUUAAAACCUGCUUGAAGAGUAUAACUUGAGCUUAACUAUGGAGCAGCUAAGGCCUUUCUAUAUAAAUUUUACAUAAGUUUACAGUGCUAGAGAGUGCCUGGUGGUUCUCACAGCAAGUUAAAGAGCAGCCCCUACCCACACUUCACAACCACAAUUGCUUAUGACAAGACAAUACAGCGGGGGGAAAAUACAAGGCUUUAUUUAAACCUCCCUGCAGUAACUCAUGGUAAUUUGCCCUGAGCAACACACAAUUUUUCUUAGGAAAGCAGUAUUUUAAACAAUGCUGCUAUGCAGUGCCUGAGAUGGGGAAUAGAAAGGCAGUAGAACAUCUCAGAAACCUGCAGUAAACAGUUCUUGUUUGGCAAUAGUUGUGGAAAAAUAUAUGAAAAGAGAAGCCAAACAAAUCUUUGACUUUGACUGCAAUAAAAAGCUUACUUUACUCUUGGACCA
rnacentral:lncRNA from 1 species